GGAUUGUAGCUCAAUGGUAGAGCACUUGCCUAGCACAUGUGAUGUGGUGCUGGGUUCAAUUCUCAGCACCA
rnacentral:tRNA from 1 species